UCUGUAGGUGAACCUGAACCUGCGGAGGGAUCAUUACCGAGUUUACAACUCCCAAACCCCUGUGAACAUACCAAUUGUUGCCUCGGCGGAUCAGCCCGCUCCCGGUAAAACGGGACGGCCCGCCAGAGGACCCCUAAACUCUGUUUCUAUAUGUAACUUCUGAGUAAAACCAUAAAUAAAUCAAAACUUUCAACAACGGAUCUCUUGGUUCUGGCAUCGAUGAAGAACGCAGCAAAAUGCGAUAAGUAAUGUGAAUUGCAGAAUUCAGUGAAUCAUCGAAUCUUUGAACGCACAUUGCGCCCGCCAGUAUUCUGGCGGGCAUGCCUGUUCGAGCGUCAUUUCAACCCUCAAGCCCUCGGGUUUGGUGUUGGGGAUCGGCGAGCCCUUGCGGCAAGCCGGCCCCGAAAUCUAGUGGCGGUCUCGCUGCAGCUUCCAUUGCGUAGUAGUAAAACCCUCGCAACUGGUACGCGGCGCGGCCAAGCCGUUAAACCCC
rnacentral:rRNA from 1 species